rnacentral:rRNA from 1 species
UACGUAGGGGCCGAGCGUUGUCCGGAUUCAUUGGGCGUAAAGAGCGUGUAGGCGGCCGCUUAAGUCCUGCGUGAAAUCUCGGAGCUCAACUCCAGAACUGCCUUUGAUACUGAAGAUCUUGAGUUCGGGAGAGGUGAGUGGAACUGCGAGUGUAGAGGUGAAAUUCGUAGAUAUUCGCAAGAACACCAGUGGCGAAGGCGGCUCACUGGCCCGAUACUGACGCUGAGGCACGAAAGCGUGGGGAGCAAACAGG